GGACCGGAGGCGCGACCCCUCGGCCCACCUUGAGGCCCGGCCUAGGACUGGAGGCGCGACCCCUCGGCCCACCUUGAGGCCCGGCCUAGGACCGGAGGCGCGACCCCUGGGCCCACCUUGAGGCCCGGCCUAGGACUGGAGGCGCGACCCCUCGGCCCACCUUGAGGCCCGGCCUAGGACCGGAGGCGCGACCCCUGGGCCCACCUGGCGGCCCGGCCGGCACAGCCCGCCUCUCCUCUCCAGGCCAGGGCCCCACACCUUCCGCCUGACAGCCAGCCAAGCUCUUCAGUCCCCCGCCCUCCACCUGCCAGGGAGGCUCCGGGCGUUGUACCUGCCACCACGGGGUAGGUCUGGUGAGUCGAGAGGUUGCGCCCCAGUGGCGUGUUGGAAGGGGUCAGGGUGGCCUUCCCGUCGUCCAGGGUGCUGUUGAGCAAGGGCAGCGGGUAGAGGCCCUGGGGAGCAAAGAGAAGUCAGCGCACAGAGACGAUCCAACAAGCCGACCUUCCUGCAGACCCUGAGCCUGUGUCUUAGGACUUGGCAGCCCUCAUCUCCCCAGGAGAGGUCCUCAUCGCCCCCUUCUUCCUUUACGUUCUCAACUCCACUCGGCACGUUUCGUUCAUGCUCAUUGUCCUCCCGCAUCCCUGGAAUUCAAGGCCAGCUGGUAGCAUGGGUGCCCAGACGUGGGAUAGAGAGUCUCAGCCAGAGGACCACACCCUGGUUGGAUGGCUGGUCGGCUUCCUGGUUUCACCACACUGUUGGGACCCACAGAAUGCAGGACGGUGCCAAGGACUGGAGCAGUCUCCAACCGGACUGUUCAGGGUCCUUGCAUCUGUUAAUUUAUUCUUCCCCAGAUAGGAAACCCAGGCACAAAGGUUUAAGAAACUUGUCCCACUUCCAGAUGGGCCAAAGAUAGGAUUCAGAUUCGAGGGAUCAGAAUGUGUCUGCUCUCAACCACUGCCCUAAACUGGGUGACAUAAGGACCACUUCUUACAUUUGCAAAGAGCUUAUAUCAGAGCUUUGCCUCUGUUGUCCUAGUAGAGUCCCCCAGCAGCCCAGUGACAUGGGUGAGUAAUAUUAUGUCUGUGUUUUAUAUGUGGAGCCUGGAACUCAGGUAAAUGGCCCAAUUUUGUAUAGUGAAACAGACUAAACCCGGGAUUUUUCGGCUGUGGACCCAGGUGCUUUACCCACCACGUGGAUUUCUUCUUUUCUCUCUCCACAUCCAAACAAAUAGAAGUGUGCAAGUUCGGCUUGAAAAUGGUAUUGAGAGUUGUUUUUGUUGGAAACACUCUUUGUCAAGUACCUGGGGGUCUUCAUCAGUAAGACCUCAUUUUAGAUGCCUCCUGGCCUCCCCUUCCCAGGAGCACAGCUAUGACCUUAGGUACUCCUUCCGAAAAGAACUUGUUUAACUAAAGGUAAGUGUACCUCAUCCUCACCAUGGCCUCCUUCCACUGGGGAAGCAGAUAGCGCAGAAAAAAGAACACACCCAUUCCCCACAUACCUUCACACUCGUCACAUACCUGCUACGUGAGAUGUGCAAAGCUGAAUUCAGGGAAUGCUCAGUAGUUACAUAACAGUGCCACUAAAGGCAAUUGUUUUCAGUGAUUUCCAUCGAGCUGGGUUCUGCAAAGAUCCACAGCACUUUCCGGUUGCAUGCUGGGCACUUUUGGAAGCUGCAGUCAAUUCUGGAGGCCACCAGGGCACCAUUAGCACAUAGCAGCAAUUAUUGACUAAAUGGUGCUCUGGUUCCAUGCCUUCCAAGGGGGCCCACUUAGAGGCAGGGUGGAGUUGCUUAGGGCCUUUUUUUUUUUUUUUUUUUGUAGACGGAGUUUUGCUCUUGUUGCCCAAGCUGGAGUGCAAUGGUGCGAUCUUCGCUUACUGCAACCUCUGCUUCCUGGGUUCAAGUGAUUCUCCUGCCUCAGCCUCCCGAGUAGCUGGGAUUACAAGCGUCUGCCACCACACCCGGCUAAUUUUUGCAUUUUUAGUAGAGACAGGUUUCACUCAGUUGGCCUGGCUGGUCUUGAGCCCCUGACCUCAAGUGAUCCGCCCACCUUGGCCUCCCAAAGUGCUGGGAUUACAGGCAUCAGCCACCAUGCCCAGCCAAUGACUGACUAUUUUCUUUGGCCACCUAGAAAGCUAGCCGAGGUCACUGGACCCUCUGCUCUGUCUUGCUGGUUCACCUUUGCUCCCUGCCCUGUCCAAGCCUGAGGCAUAUCCCUCACCCCCCUGGUCACUGGUUUUCUAUCAGGUUUUAGCAGGUUCAAGUUGAAGCUUCUCCUCAUGGACUCUGGAAUCCUGACCUUGCUUGGAUCCCCAGCCAGGUCCAACUUGUUAAGCUGAGCCUCCUCUUCUGGGGCCUCCACCCUUCCCCUCCCUCUAUCCUCCAACUAGUUGCUUUGGCAGAUCAACCGCCUGUGUCAGCAUAUCCUCCUCUUCUUGUUGUAGAAACUCUCUGCUCUCAUCUGCAUGAAAAAGAAUCUAGCUCUUUAAAACUCCAUUCAUCUGUUACUUCCAUCCAGGACUCAUCUCUUCUGGGACACCACAACCCAUCACAGGAAUCCCCUCUCCCUAGCCCAGCAAAGGAUCAUGCCUUUCCCUAACUACUUCAGGAGGGGAGCCAGGGCUUUUCACGGUUCAAAGAACAGUCCAGGUCCCUUUACCUUGUCCAACCAGGGCUCCUCCUAAAUCCACCUAAGGGUCAGAGCAGGGGGACAGGCACACGUACACAGAGCUGACUGGAAGCUGUGGCACAGAGGCAUUUUUAAUGGAAGUGGCUUUGCAGACUGGAAUCUGUGACUGCAUCAGCUCAGAAGCAGGCCUUUGCUGCUCCUGGUCUCUUCUGAAUCUUUGGGUCAGUGGUUCUCAACCCUGGCUGCAGAGAAUUAGAGUCACUUGCUGGGGGCGGAUGGGCUGGGGAGUUAUAUGCCAAAACUUGCGCCUAUUUCCCUAAAGUUCGGAUUUAAUUGGUCUGCCCUGGGGCAUAAACAGUAUUGCUAUUUAAAAAUCAGGCUUCCCCUGGUGACUGUAAUGUGCUACCAGGGCUAUGAAGCACUGAUCUGGGGUCUUGGGGAAUUAUGGUUUGAGAAGCACAAACUCAGAUAUCACUCUUUUAGGGGUUAGACCUUGGGAGCUCAUCUGUGUGUCCCCUCCCUAGUGGCCUAAUUUCCCUAGGUCUCGGUAGGAGGAGGACCUUGGGGGAAGAUUCUCUUGCCUUAGCAGGAGAGAAGCCUAUAGCUAAUGAGACAUGGAGCAAAAGAGAAGAAGGGAGAGGGAGAAACUAAAAGAAGGAUAAAUGGACAAAGAAAGAAGGAAGGGCAAGAAAACAGUAGAAAAAUAGUGGCUGGGUAGAGGCCCAGAAGGACCACCAUAACUGUUCAGGUCUCAGGACCAAAGCUGGACAUUGGGAGCAAAUCCCCGUUCCCUGGGAGGGGAAUUCUCUAGCUGCCCUGAGAUCAGCUGGAGAAGUCAAGCCCUGCGGGGAAGGCGGCCUGCGGUGAAUUUCG
rnacentral:lncRNA from 1 species